CCUUUCUUGUAUUAUUUAUGUCCUCUAUAUUUGCAUGGUUUAUUUGUCAACUCUUUGCAGGUACCAAAAUGCAUAUUGGAGAUUGCGACCACUUCCUAAGGAGAUGCUUAGGAAAAAGUGUUUCUUCAUAGCCUUGUGGACUAAGUUGAGGAGAAGAAGGAACCACCAAGAACCGGCCACAGUAAGAGGGUCGAGGUUAUCCUGAUAUUCCUACGAGAAGGUACAAAUUUCAUUAUUUUUGUAAAUAAAAUAAGAUGAAUAUCUUUGUACUUUUAGCUCUAGUAAUUUCUCCUAAGCUGCAAAAACAUUGUCUAGGUUUUUGCGUCUGCUUAUUGAUACUCUGCAUCUCCCGGCAUAUUUCUUGGUAGAUUGUGAUCCUUAUGGUUUUGACAUUCUGUCUACAUAUCGAUUUGGUUCGAUGGUUAGGCAUCUUGACUGGACUAUCUUCUUAUUCUCUAUUUUCAAUGCUUGCUUGUGCCUUGUACUUAGUUUCUAUCCAAUCUAAACUCACUCUUCUCUUAUUUAAGCAAAUGGCAUACGAUGAUCCAUGAGCUAGAAAAUGAUUAGUUUCAAUUUUUUGAAUUUUAGGUAAGUAGUAUCAUGAUCCAUGAGCUAGAAAAUGAACAAACAAUUUGUUUCUGGAUAAUUCAUUAGACAAUAAAAAAAAAUAUUUUAUCAAGAUUAUCCUUAAACUUUAAGCAAAUGAAGCAUAAAAAU